GCCAGGCAUGGUGGCGCAUGCCUGUAAUCCCAGCUACUUGGGAGGCUGAGGCAGGAGAAUUGCUUGAACCUGGGAGGCAGAGGUUGCAGUGAGCUGAGAUUGCGCCACUGCACUCCAGCCUGGGCAACAGAGUGAAACUCUGUCUCAA
rfam:Pan troglodytes isolate Yerkes chimp pedigree #C0471 (Clint) chromosome 12, whole genome shotgun sequence.